rnacentral:rRNA from 1 species
CGCGAAUGGCUCAUUACAACAGCUAUAAUUUACUUGAAUUUGACAACCCUACUUGGAUACCGGUGGUAAUUCUAGCGCUAAUACAUGCACCAAAGCUCCGACCGCGAGGGAAGAGCGCAUUUAUUAGAACAAAACCAAGCGGCUUCGGCUGUUUCUGGUUGACUCAUAGUAACUGAGCUGAUCGCAUGGUCUUGCACCGGCGACGUGUCUUUCAAGUAUCUGCCGUAUCAACUUUCGAUGGUAGUGUAUCUGACUACCAUGGUGGUCACGCGUAACGGAGAAUAAGGGUUCGGCUCCGGAGAGUUCGCCUGAGAAAUCGCGAACACAUCUAAGGAAGGCAGCAGGCGCGAAAAUUACCCACUCUCAGCACGAGGAGGUAGUGACGAAAAAUAACGAGACCGUUCUCUUAUGAGGCCGGUCAUCGGAAUGGGUACAAUUUAAACCCUUUAACGAGUAUCUAUGAGAGGGCAAGGGGGGUGCCAGCAGCCGCGGUAAUUCCAGCU